rnacentral:rRNA from 1 species
CGUAGGUGGCAAGCGUUGUCCGGAUUUAUUGGGCGUAAAGCGCGCGCAGGCGGCUAUGUAAGUCUGGUGUUAAAGCCCGGAGCUCAACUCCGGUUCGCAUCGGAAACUGUGUAGCUUGAGUGCAGAAGAGGAAAGCGGUAUUCCACGUGUAGCGGUGAAAUGCGUAGAGAUGUGGAGGAACACCAGUGGCGAAGGCGGCUUUCUGGUCUGUAACUGACGCUGAGGCGCGAAAGCGUGGGGAGCAAACAGGAUUAGAUACCCUGGUAGUCCACGCCGUAAACGAUGAGUGCUAGGUGUUGGGGGUUUCAAUACCCUCAGUGCCGCAGCUAACGCAAUAAGCACUCCGCCUGGGGAGUACGCUCGCAAGAGUG